rnacentral:rRNA from 1 species
GGGUCAGUAGGUUGGUCGUGCCACCGGUACGUACUGGUCUCACUGAUUCCUCCUUCCUGAAGAACCGUAAUGCCAUUAAUUUGGUGUUGCGGGGAAACAGGACCGCUACUUUGAAAAAAUUAGAGUGUUUAAAGCAAGCUAACGCUUGAAUACAUUAGCAUGGAAUAAUGAAAUAGGACGAUCGAUCCUAUUUUGUUGGUUUCUAGGAUUGACGUA